rnacentral:lncRNA from 1 species
GGGGCCAUGCCCUUUUGUCACCACCUGCUAAAUAGCAUGCAUACCGAGGUUGUGCCAUUUGAAAAAGCUAAAAGGGCACAUUCUGGAUCCUGAAUUUUGGGUGUGGUUCGUGUAAGAAGGAUGACCUGAAGCUCCAAUGAUCAGUGGAUCAUAGUCAAAGAAAAGACUCUCCAUACAGAUUAACAUGGGUAAACGAAUAUUUUAAGUAGCAAAAAACAUCACAGCCCUGCUGCCAAUCACCUGGGAACCACGCUUCUCUUUGGCGCCUGAAAACAACUGAACUGAAGCAUGGACCGAGGAAGUUUCCCUCCUCACCAGGACUCUCCUCUGAUGCCCUUCCUGACACAGCCAAAGCUUUCAUUUUGGAAAUGUGACUUGGAGAAUGAAGCUGCCAUCAUGUGGGGGAUAAGCUGAGUCAGGAGCAGGCCGUUCUGCAGCACUGGUGAAAGCAGAGAUACCCACCAUGUAAACCAGUCUGUCUGCACCAUGCCAUCAGGGGAUGGCUGAUGGGACCAGGAUAGGAAUCCCAGCUCAGGACUGGUUGAUGCAUAAGGGUGGAGGACUCUACACGUGAGAGAAGACUUACAUCGUCUGCUUGACUUCUUGAUCCAUUCAGCACCCAAGCACCUUGCCAGACAUUGUGCUGAAUGCUUAGGAUCCAAGAUAAAAGGCCAAGAAGCUAUCUGUUCCUGGGGAGCUCUCUACUCUACUCUGAUUUGAGUGUGGAGGUCUGUGAUAGACAAUAAAUGAAUAUACACAUACGUAAAGAACAAUUUCUGUAAUUGCAGGUUGUCAUUAGGCCUGAGAAGG